rnacentral:rRNA from 1 species
AGAGUUUGAUCAUGGCUCAGAUUGAACGCUGGCGGCAGGCCUAACACAUGCAAGUCGAGCGGUAGCACAGAGAGCUUGCUCUCGGGUGACGAGCGGCGGACGGGUGAGUAAUGUCUGGGAAACUGCCUGAUGGAGGGGGAUAACUACUGGAAACGGUAGCUAAUACCGCAUAAUGUCGCAAGACCAAAGUGGGGGACCUUCGGGCCUCAUGCCAUCAGAUGUGCCCAGAUGGGAUUAGCUAGUAGGUGGGGUAAUGGCUCACCUAGGCGACGAUCCCUAGCUGGUCUGAGAGGAUGACCAGCCACACUGGAACUGAGACACGGUCCAGACUCCUACGGGAGGCAGCAGUGGGGAAUAUUGCACAAUGGGCGCAAGCCUGAUGCAGCCAUGCCGCGUGUGUGAAGAAGGCCUUCGGGUUGUAAAGCACUUUCAGCGGGGAGGAAGGCGNCGAUUGACGUUACCCGCAGAAGAAGCACCGGCUAACUCCGUGCCAGCAGCCGCGGUAAUACGGAGGGUGCAAGCGUUAAUCGGAAUUACUGGGCGUAAAGCGCACGCAGGCGGUCUGUCAAGUCGGAUGUGAAAUCCCCGGGCUCAACCUGGGAACUGCAUUCGAAACUGGCAGGCUAGAGUCUUGUAGAGGGGGGUAGAAUUCCAGGUGUAGCGGUGAAAUGCGUAGAGAUCUGGAGGAAUACCGGUGGCGAAGGCGGCCCCCUGGACAAAGACUGACGCUCAGGUGCGAAAGCGUGGGGAGCAAACAGGAUUAGAUACCCUGGUAGUCCACGCCGUAAACGAUGUCGAUUUGGAGGUUGUGCCCUUGAGGCGUGGCUUCCGGAGCUAACGCGUUAAAUCGACCGCCUGGGGAGUACGGCCGCAAGGUUAAAACUCAAAUGAAUUGACGGGGGCCCGCACAAGCGGUGGAGCAUGUGGUUUAAUUCGAUGCAACGCGAAGAACCUUACCUGGUCUUGACAUCCACAGAACUUUCCAGAGAUGGAUUGGUGCCUUCGGGAACUGUGAGACAGGUGCUGCAUGGCUGUCGUCAGCUCGUGUUGUGAAAUGUUGGGUUAAGUCCCGCAACGAGCGCAACCCUUAUCCUUUGUUGCCAGCGGUUNGGCCGGGAACUCAAAGGAGACUGCCAGUGAUAAACUGGAGGAAGGUGGGGAUGACGUCAAGUCAUCAUGGCCCUUACGACCAGGGCUACACACGUGCUACAAUGGCAUAUACAAAGAGAAGCGACCUCGCGAGAGCAAGCGGACCUCAUAAAGUAUGUCGUAGUCCGGAUUGGAGUCUGCAACUCGACUCCAUGAAGUCGGAAUCGCUAGUAAUCGUAGAUCAGAAUGCUACGGUGAAUACGUUCCCGGGCCUUGUACACACCGCCCGUCACACCAUGGGAGUGGGUUGCAAAAGAAGUAGGUAGCUUAACCUUCGGGAGGGCGCUUACCACUUUGUGAUUCAUGACUGGGGUGAAGUCGUAACAAGGUAACCGUAGGGGAACCUGCGGUUGGAUCACCU